AGGACGACAAAAAGGUAAAUAACAAAUGCUAAUAUCGCAUAUAUAAUUAAGAAAAUUCAUUAACUAAAAGACAAUCUAUGGAAAUUUACUUUGCUACAUGUUUCACAGUGUUGAAUAAUCCUGAGGAACAGAAAAGUGGAGAAAAACAGUUCGAUCAGCAUAUAGUAUUAGCAACAAUGGCCAAGUUCUUGAUAACAUUGCAGGAUGAAAGAUAAAAGACAUGGCCUCUUCUAUGAAACCACCUUGCUCCUGGAGAAAGAAUAAUUCAUCGAGUAGGAGUUAUCUAAAAGGGGCACAACACACGACAACAACUUGGAGAGAACAAUAUCACAUAUAUAAAUAAGAAAUUUGCAUUGGAUGUUUCAAUCCGUAACAUGAAGAUAUACAUGGGGAAGAGCGUUAGUUUUGUGAUUACCACCAUUCCCCAUGUUUGUUGCUACAUUUAAAUCAAGUUCUUUUAGCAAUUAUUGCAACAUUCCUAGGUGAUAAUGCAGGAUCAAAGAUGGGUAACAUGAUUGCCUCCACUGAACUCCCUUGCUCCUGAAGGAACAAUAAUCUAUCAAGCAGAAGAAGAGUCUCAAGAAGGGGCCCAAAAGCAGCUCGAAGAGACCAAUAGGAUCCUAUAAGCUCAGCAAAAGGUUCAGCUUCCUUCCAUAUUUCAUGAAGAUAUAUCCCUUCCAAAGGUUGGAGACCCAGGCGAGAAAGUCCAGACUGACAAAAUUUCUCAAAUAGUAAAUAUUUGUCAACAGAAGCAUUUUCCUCACAUCUCAUAAACCCAUCGCAAGACAAGGUAUCUACACCCAACUCCAAGGUUGAACUUUCAUCUGCAAAACAAAUUUUCAUGGAUAAUUGUCAGCAUCUCUUACAUAUUUUAAACACCCAGAGAUAAAAAAUCAUUCUCAUAAACUCCAUUAGGUAUACAUUCUUCAAGCUCAAACACUUCAAGAAAAGCCCUUCAGCCCUUCAUUGUCCAUCGCUUGAACUGAGAAUAUGCAUUGAUCAGCAGGUUCAGUUAUCAAACAUACGGUAGAGUAACACUCUUACCCUGAAUUAAACUCACAAAAACAAAAGCCAAACACUCCAGGUUGAAUAUUUUCAAUAUAAGUUGGUUAAAAAACAAAGAAAACCAGCAGUCUAUGAAAUCUAAGCUAACAUUUUCUAAGUAAAACAAUUUUUGAGAAAUAACUUAUUUUCUAUUGUUAAGUUGCAACACUAAAAACUAAUUGGAAACUAUUUUCUAGUGUUUGAAAUAAAUUGGAAAUGUUAAUUCUCCUUGAAUAUAUAUGACUCAAAAUAUUUGAGCUUCUAAGAAUUUCUUAGUUUUUCUAUUUACAGUUAAAUAUGAGAAAAAUUAUGUACAAUAUAGUAAUUUGUGGUUGUUGCUAACAAUUGGUAGCAGUUGCCUGUGGCUGAUUACUAGCAAUAACCAUUGAUGAAAGGGACAAUCAAUUGCAAGCCUACAGAAUAUUCAAGCAUUCAUUUGUUUACCAGUUUUAGGUUCUGUAGGCUGUAGAGAGAGGCAGGUUUCUUUCAUUUUAGAAGUGCUCUGUGGCAGUGUUGAAUGUUUGUUUUCUAUAUUGUGCAGUGCAGAAUGCAAGGCCCUUCUUUGCUGUUGACGACGCAAAGCCUUCCCUUGACGCCCGAUUGAAGGACUUGUUUUUAUGAUUUCAGGAUAAUAUUUACAAAGAACCAUCUGAAAAGCAGCACGAAAAGUAUGCAACUCAAAAUUUUGAAGACCAACAUCUUUGUCAAGACAAGUCCAUCUCUCUGCACUCUGACAAGCAAGAUCGCGUGAAUUCUUCCCUAGUGAUAUGCCUGCAGAUUUAACACCAGUACUCAUUGGAAAACCACAAUGAGAACCAGCAGCAUCAAAACAUUCUUCUGAUAACAAGUUGUAGCAGCACCCAAUGCUAACAACUGCUUUGAAGUCUUCGCACUCCAAAAAGGUCUUCAGCAUUGUUACUGAAAGAUCUCCACAAGCAUGUAAUCCAGCAAGUAACAAUGAAGUUUUAUUGUCUGCAACUUGCCCAAUCAGUUUUGGCUGCUUGACAUCGUCAAGUAGUGACAUGUUAGUCAAGGCUUUCAACAUGUCAAUGGACAUAAUGCGGCAUGUAAUUGUCUUAGGCACAUUCAGAACCCUGUUUCCUGAAUUAAAUUUACGCAUCUGCGCUGUAUAAUGUUUCUUUAUCCGUUCUGCACGUGUCUCUGUUACCUCUCCAUGAUGAGAAGAAGCAUCAAUAGCAACUACGGAAUGAUGGUACUGGAAAGAAAGAACUUGUGCAAGAUAACCCUGACCAGCACCUACAUCAACAAUUGUUUGAACUCUCACACCGUUUGCAAUAAAACUAACAACAGCAGAAAGAACUUCUACCUCAUGUUUUUUCUUCACAUUCAUGCCUUGUGCAAGAACACUAUUAAGCACUGUGAUCUUCAGUCCAGGAAACACCUUAUCCAGGUCCACUUGCUCUCGAGAAAACACAAGAGAUCUCAAAGUCGUAACAAAUUGUUUAAGAGAAUCAGGCCAGUAGUCCUGAACCACACCAGAAGGAAUAAGUAGAAGAUUUUGAAUAGGUUCAUGACGGAGGCAUUGGAACCACUGUUGAUCAAGGGAUUCCCAUAAUCUGUCUUUGAAGAAAUUGACGACGUGAGCGUUGAUGAUGGAAUUGUAAGGUUUGAUGAAUUGGAGAAUUGCGUUAAUCCAUUUUAGGGUCUCACUUGCGCUCUCGCAACUGUAUUUUCCCCUGCUUCCCAUUCGCCUGCAAGGAUCUAGCAAAUGAGCAAAGUGUUCUUCUACCCUGAUAUUUAGAUAGAUUAUUAUAACAUAUGAGAAUUUUG
rnacentral:misc_RNA from 1 species